rnacentral:rRNA from 1 species
UACGUAGGGGGCGAGCGUUGUCCGGAAUCACUGGGUGUAAAGGGUGCUCAGGCGGAUCGGUAAGUCAGGGGUGAAAUUUCACAGCUUAACUGUGAAUGUGCUUUUGAUACUGCCGGUCUAGAGUUCAGAAGAGGGCAAUGGAAUUCUUGGUGUAGCGGUGAAAUGCGUAGAUAUCAAGAAGAACACCAGUUGCGAAGGCGGUUGCCUGGUCUGUAACUGACGCUCAAGCACGAAAGCGUGGGGAUCAAACAGG